AAGGGGGUAGCUUGCUACCUGCCGGCGAGUGGCGAACGGGUGAGUAAUACAUCGGAACGUGCCCUGUAGUGGGGGAUAACUAGUCGAAAGACUAGCUAAUACCGCAUACGACCUGAGGGUGAAAGUGGGGGACCGCAAGGCCUCAUGCUAUAGGAGCGGCCGAUGUCUGAUUAGCUAGUUGGUGGGGUAAAGGCCCACCAAGGCGACGAUCAGUAGCUGGUCUGAGAGGACGAUCAGCCACACUGGGACUGAGACACGGCCCAGACUCCUACGGGAGGCAGCAGUGGGAAU
rnacentral:rRNA from 1 species